UUUUAUCAUUACCAGCUGUCGACCUGAUGCAGCCCCAUUUGUUGCCUCUUACUACGGGUAGAGGUACUUAACAUAACCUAGGUGAGGUUCCUUCAGUUCAUAGGUACAAUACCAGAGACUUCACAUUCAAUGAUAACACUGAAAAAUGGAAAUCGAAAAAUUUCCUCCCUAAAGUACUACCUAAGAAAAUUUCCUUUUAGUAAGGGUCUAGAUCAUAUACAUUUAAGUAAACUUUCUAAACAAACUAAUUUUUUACAAAAAAACAUUUAUAAUAUUAUCAUAG